rnacentral:lncRNA from 1 species
AUAAUCCUGCCGGAACACACUCUUCUUGCUGCAUUAGGAUCCAACUGGAAAACAUAAAGAUGAAUUGCUGUAGGCUGGAAAAUCAAUUAGGAAAAAGAGGUAAAACAUCUGGUGUUACUCUUAGAAUAUGAAAAUUCAUUUUGCACAUUUAAAAUAAAUGUGUUGAGUUGAUUUAAUUGCCUGUUGAACUGUUUCGUGGAAAAUACUGGGAAGUUGCAUUGAUCCUGGGCAUUUUGCAGUAAGGGGCAUUGUCUUGAGUUCUCCUUUAAUCUUAAUCUUUAAUCAAUCUGGAUUGUAUUUCUAAGGUCUUUUUCACGUGAGUUUCAGUAGACUUGGAACUUCAGUUUUCAAAGUCAAGUGUGUAUUAGAAUUACACGGAGGGCUGGUUAAAACACAGAUGGCUGGGCCUAACCCCACAGUUUCUGAUCCAGUAGGUCUGGGCUAGGGCUUAAGAAUUUGAAUUUGUAGCAAGGUUCUAAGUGAUGACAAGCUGCUGGUUGGGACCACACUUUGAGAACUACUGGCUUCGAAUAAGGGAGAGUCCUUGUCAGUGUACAGAGUAGGGAGGUGGUUUCCUAUGAAAAUAGAUUAAAUUCCACAGACUUAUGGUGCUAUGCCCUGCAGUCUUGACUUCCUUACACAACGGAGUACAUAGCUUCCAGAGAGCUUUCCUUCUAAGAUAAGCCACACAUAACUCCUAUCUUCUCUUCCCUACAUUCUUCUGCAAAAAUGGGUUUAAUGCCCUUCUAGAGAUUCAUUUCUUUCUUUCCUUUUUAAGAGACAGGGUCUUGCUCUGUCGCCCAGGCUGGAGUGCAGUGGUGCCAUCAUAGCUCACUGAAGCCUCAACCUCCUGGGCUCAAGCAAUCCUCCCACCUCAGUCUCCUGAGUAGGUGGGACUACAGGUGUGCCCAGCUAACUUUUAAAUUUUUUUUUGUAGAGACAAAGUCUUGCUAUUUUGCCCAGGAUGGUCUCGAACUCCAGGGCUCAAGCAGUCCUGUUAUAUCCUCCUCCGAAAGUGUUGGGAUUACAGGUAUGAGCCACCAGGCCCCAACCUAUUUCUGCCAUUCCUGAAUUCAGAAUGCAACAGCACUCUAAUUUAAUCAGCGUUGGCACCUACUUUGUGAACUCUGAUGAGGUGGGAAUACAAAAGCAAUAAAACACAGUCCUCCCCCUCCAGGAGCUCAUUCACAGCCUGGUGGCCCCCUGGCAGUUGCAAGAAGGCAUCCACCAAGACCACAAUUAUAGCAUGAUGUAAUGGAGGCAUUAGGCAAGGGCACGACAGGAGCCUAGGGCACAGGUACCUAUUUUUGCCCGGGAAGAUGGGGAAGGUGUCAUGGAGGAGGAAUCAUUUGAGCUAAAUCUUAAGCAGGAGUGGGUGAUGUGUAGGUGGAAAAAAUCUUGGGGGUGGGGUGGGGAGGGAGAUAAUUGGGCCAUUGGCACAUCGAGGAUACAUACAGCUUCUUUAUGUUACUGUAGGGCCUCGCCUCUGGGAAUAAAGCUGUCUUGGGUGAGAACUACUUUCUACUUUUAGUCCCUCUAGCGUAUAUUUCUUCAGUCAAGAAGAGUGGUAUUACCUAGCCAAGUAAAACACAGCCUCUCCUCUUCGCUCCCUGUUCACAAAACAAGGAGCAUCUAUCUGGCAGGCCAGGAGAGGGGGUUGGUGAUGAAGAUUUCAUUGUUUCCUCUGUGCCUUCCAGGGAUGUGAUUCAGACACAGGACUAGCUUUGUGAUCCCUGUGCUCCGGAGAAACCUCCACCCUGGCCUCAAGGAGGCUGUGAAACCAAAAGGGACCUUGGGUGCCAGCUUGCUGGGUCCUUACUUACUUGGUCCAUCUUCUGGCUGGAAGGAGCACCUGGGCUCUCAGAGUGCCCCCCGACUCUCAGCAGCUCCUUUUCUGGCCCAAGAGAGUUAGACUACAGUGUACUGUUCAGCAGGCAGAAAGGCCACAAUCUAUGGAUGAAAGAAGUCCCCCUGCAGGGAGAGGACCUAGUCAGAACAAUCUUCCUAGGAAGAAGAAAAUCCUGGGAUGGGAACUGUGGUCUUAGAAAGCAGACCUUACACAGUGGCUCACACCUGUAAUCCCAGCACUUCAGGAAGCUGAAGUGGGGGCAUUGCUUGAGGCCAGGAGUCGAAGACUAGCCUGGGCAACAUUGUGAGUUCUCAUCUCUACCAAAAUAAAAAAUAAAAAAAGUAUCUGGGCAUGGCAGCAUGUGCCUGUAGUCUCAGCUACUAGGGAGGCUGAGGCAGGAGGAUUGCUUGAGCCUAGGAGUUGGGAGUCUGUGGUGAGAUAUGAGAGCACCACUGUACUCCAGCCUGGGCAACAGAGUGGAGAAUUAAAAAAGAAUUAAAAAAAGACCAGAAACAGCAGAGAAAGGGGGCCUCCUUCCCCUCUCUGUCUGUUUUAUUGAGGGAGAGUCUCACUCUGUCACUCAGGCUGGAGUACAGUGGUACGAUUUUGGCUCACUGCACCCUCAACCUCAACCUGGGCUUAAGCUAUCCUCCCACCUUAGCCUCCCGAGUAGCUGGGACUACAGGUACAUACCACCAUACCCAGCUAGUUUUUUUUUUUAAAUGUUCUGUAGAGAUGAGGUCUCAUUAUGUUGGCCAGGCUGGUCUCAAACUCCCGGGCUUAAGUGAUCCUCCCACCUCAGUCUCCCAAAGUGCUGGGUUUACAGGCAUGAGCCACUGCUCCCGGCCUCCCUCUCUGAGAACAUGCUCUAGGUGUGUUGAAAGUAUUUCUGGGUGGGGAUAAGAUGGGGAGGGGAGGUGACUUCUUUU